rnacentral:tRNA from 1 species
GUAGCAUUGGCAGAGUUGGUAUUGCACAAGAUUGCUAAUCUUAGGUCAUCGUUUAUUCGGUGCAUUGGUUCGAGUCCAAUAUGCUACG